AAAGUGGAAAGAUUUGGCCUAUUGCAACCACUAAAAAAAAUGCUAAAACAGUAUU
rnacentral:ncRNA from 1 species